AUGGCAUAUGGUGGAAUUAUUAAGUCCUUAUAUCAGGUUCUAAAAGAAGGGACUGAUAGGGAACCACUUCUCGGGGAAAAGGAUCAGAAGCAAGCCUUUAGGAAACUGAAAGCUGCCUUCUCACAAGCGCCAGCCCUUGGGCUACCCAAGCUAACCAGACCGUUUCAGCUUUUUGUAAGGUGUAGCCCUGGAAGUUCUAACUCAAACCAUCAGGCCAUCGAAUGUCCUAUAGGUUACUUUUUAAAGAACCUCGACCCAGUAGUGCAAGGGUGGCCACACUGCCUAAAGGUAGUGGUUGCAGCAGCCCUUUUACUCAAGGAGGCCCUCAAAAUCACCAUGGGACAGUCAGUCUGGCUCCUGAUAUCCCACCAAAUAGGCCCCUUAUUGGAUAUUAAAAGACCUCAAUGGAUCACUGACAACAAACUGCUAAAAUACCAAGUCUUGUCAGAAAAUCCACGGCCUAUAGCGAACUCUCAGAGGAUAUUAGCCAACAAUUUUAAUGUCAUAGCUAAAACCUUAACAAACAUACCAAAACAAAUUAACUCUUUAGCAGCUGUAGUCCUUGAAAAUUGUCAAGGACUAGAUAUGUUAAUGGCAGCACAGGGAGGAAUUUGUUUAGCCUUAGAAGAAAAAUGUUGCUUUCAGGUAAAUCAGUCAGUAAAAAUGCAAAACAACAUCAGACAACUCCUAAAUCGGGCCUCCAGUUUACAAGAACAAGCCUUUCAGGGUUAGUUAGAUGGGGAAGGAAGAUGGAGAUGGUUUUCCUGGGUUCUUCCCUCUUUAGGCCCACUUGUUACCCUCCUACUUUUUCUCCUUUUAGACCAUGUGUUCUAAAUCUAGUAACCCAAUUUUUCUACUUUCUCUCACCUUUAGAUGAUCAAGCUCCAGAUGAUCCUCAGUGAGGGAUACCAUCCUCUCAAUAUUCAAGAGUCACCCUUCUACAGAGGACCCCUAGACUUCCCAUCAGUGGGACCAUGGCAGACGUGAAAUCCUGCCCCUGUCUCCCUUAGACCUGGCUGGAUACUGCUUUCAUCAAGCCAUGUAGCCGUUCUGCCCUGACAGCCAGCAAGAGGCCAAGACCCACGGAAGAAUCACCACCACACCUCUGUCAGCAGGAAGCAGUCACAGAAGACUGACUCCCAAAGAAUUGGGUCGUGGUCUCUCAUGGGGGGAAAUGUUAGAGUAGGUAAUUACGCAGACAUGAGCAAGGGAGGAGAGACCUCCUCCAACCAGGAAUGUCAGGUGACCAUCAGAUGACUUCUCAGUAAGAUCUCAGGAGUUGGGCAAGCAGACUCAAACAUGUGCACUAAGAGGCAAAAUGGUACAGUUUAACUGGUAUGUGGACUUCCUCGAGAAACACUUGACUCAUAAGGGUAAAAUGUCUCAAGUGAGCAUGCACAGCUUCAGUAAAAACAGACCAUGUAUGCAGCCCCUCACAAGUGCUGGCAGGCCACUGCACAUGCGGACAGCCUGCCCCAAGGGAAAAAAAUCACAAGAGGAGAGAUGCAAAACCCCAGAAGCAUGCCAACAUAUAAAACCCCAAGUCUAAGGCCAAAUAGGGCACUUGGAUUUCUCAAGUUGUCCACUUGGCCCUCUUACAAGUGUACUUUAUUUCCUUUCAUUCCUGCUCUAAAACUUUUAAACUUUCACUCCUGUUCAAAAACUUGCCUCAGUCUUUCACUCUGCCUUAUGCCCUUUGGAUGAAUUGUUUCCUUCAAGGAGGCAUCAAGCUGCUGUUAACCCACACAGAUUCGCUGCUGCUAACAGGAGUAUGGCUUGAGCCCAGAAGGUUGAGGCUGCAGUGAGUCACGAUCAUGCCACUGCUCUCCAGCCUGGCAACAGAAUGAGACUCUGUUAAAAAAAAAAAAAAAAAGACUUUUUACAAAAAGCAAAAUGAUAAUGGAACUAAAAAUGCACAUUGACUGAACUCCAACUACUUCUUCUCUCAAUUGAAACCACUUUUGCAAAAAUUGUAACAGUGAGAAAAUUAUGGCAGUAGGGGUGAUCUAAUCAAGCCAAAACCCAACUUGGCUUUAGCCUUCAAGCUGCCCUUAAUUAUUCCUAGGCUUAGGCCAAGCUAACUCUGGGGACACUUACUUUAUAGUUUAAAUGAUAGUAGUCCUUCCCCAAAACUCAACUACCUCUGCAAGGCUGAAGGCUGAUAAGAGGCCACCAGGCUAGGAGGAUAGAGAAGCCUGAAUUCUGCUUAGGUAUAGAUAUAAACAUUUUCCAGCCAUUAUUCUGAGGGAUCACAAAAUAUGCAACUUCUUCAAUUACUCCUGCAGAUAAGAUCUCUCUUUUAGAACGUAAGAUUGGGCUUUUGAGAUGCCUUUUCAGGUUUUUUGUUUGUCUGACUACUGAUGGCUCCACAUGGACCCACCAAUCACUCCUGCGGCCCCAUACAGAAGCAACUCAGCAUGCAUAAAGGCUAUUUCCCACACCACUAUGACUGCAGCCCCCAACCAAUCAGCAAGCGUUUAUUGCUUAGACAGCCCCAUUCCUUCCCUAAACCAUCCAUGAAAACCCUAGCUUCCAAAUUUCCAGGGAAGCAGAUUUGAGCAAUAAAAUACAUCUCCCAUUUAGCCAGCUCCAUGUGUGUAAAACUCUUUCUCUAUUGCAAUUCCCUUGCCUUGAUAAAUGAUAAAUCACCUCUAUCUGAGCAUCAGGCAAGAAGAACCCAUUGAGUCCUUACAGUAUCCUUCUUUCUACCCUUAUCUACCUAAUUACUCUGAAUGUACUAACGUUUUCACUCAGUUAUUUUUCCACUUUGAAUACAAAAAGAAAGUGAACAGGGGAAAUGCCUUAUGAAAUUAGUCCCUCAGAAUAAACCAGCUGGGCUUUCUUUAACCACCUUUAUGCCUUAUUCAAAAUCUAAGCUCAGAGACAAUAGUGAAAGGAUUUUUUAUCCCAAAGGAAAACUCUUAGAAAUUUGCUGAAGCUAUCCAUGCUGAGUCUAGGUAUCGAACAUGCUUUGCCCUAUUUAUUCAUGGGCACUACCCUGAGCUCAGUAGUUUUUUUAAAAAGCUGGGUUGGGAAGACACAGAUCUAGCUGAAUUCGUUGCCAAAAUAUGUUAUCUGGCAUAAAGAUUAUUUUGAGAGAGUUCUUUUUGAGACUCCUUCUAAGAGAAAUUUGUAUCUACAAAGGAGGUCUCCAAUUAUAAACUUGUUUCUCUCUCUGCAUCAGGAAAAGGAGGAGGACUAAAUAACCAGGCACUCUUAAUCAAUAGAGGAGUUUAAUCUGAGUAACAAACCUUACUUUUAUUGAAGGUGCUUUUUCAGGCUCUCUGCCAUUAAGAUCUGUAUUUUCCACCCUGCCUCCUCUAGGACCUGAGGAUUAUCACUUUGAUAUGAAAAAGCCAGGGAGAUUACUCAUCAGAAGAAUAAGAAAGAAAAGAGCUAUUUGGAAAUUGAACAAACAAAAAAAUCUUGUUUUUUUUCUUUUCUUCAGAAACAGCGAAAAGCUUUAGCCAUCUUGUAGAUAAUCCUAACUUGUUCCAUGUGCCAGAAACACAAUUUGCAUUCAGAAAUUCUUUUAUAAACUGUUGUUGUAUUAUUGUACCUGGCACAUGGCUACAAUUUUCAAAUCAAAACUGUGAAAUCUGCUUCUGUCUGUAUUUUAUGUAUGUCUACAUAUGCAUAUAAUGUGUAAUAUGUUUUUAUGUCCAGAGACUAUCCUAAAAUUAACUUGUAAAGAGCUACAGUUAAUGGUCUUAAAAAGCACUUAUACAAAUUAAGUAUUUUUUAAACUUUCAGAAACAUAGGACCUAACCCAAAUGUUCUUCAGGUGCAUAUUGGUAAAAGGAAAAACUUCAGCCAAAUUAAAUUUAAAGGAGUUUAAUUGACCAAUGAAUGAUUAACGAAUCAGGCAGCCCCCAGAAUCACAGCAGAUCCAGAGAGUCCCCAGGGAUGCCUGGGGGUCAGAACAAAUUUAGAGACAAAAAAAGAAAAGUGACAUACAGAAAUUAGAGUGAGGUACAGAAGCAGCUGGAUUGGUUACAGGUUGGUAUUUGCCUUAUUUGAACACAGUUUGAACACUCAACAGUGUCUGAGUGGUUGAACUAUGGCUGGUAGAAUUGACCAAGACUCAGCUAUUGUUACAGGCAUACACUCCUAAAUUAGGUUUUCAAUCUUGUCUACCUAUUAAGUUACUACAUUACAGUUUGUCCACAAGGACUCAAAUAUAGAAGUACAGAGUCCUUCUCAGGCCAUCUUCAGUUCUCUUUAACAAUAUGAUAUGGGAUUAAUGUUGAGUAAAUAAAAAUUGCUUUAAGUUUGUUGGAUUAACUAAAGCAGGCAUGUCUUUGGACUUGUCAACAUUAAAUAUAAUACAUGCAUACCUUUUUUUCUUCCAAGGUUUACUAGGCAAAUAAGUUUAUGUUAUUUAACUAGAUGUUUAAGAUUAUAAAACUAUGAGUUUUAUCUAAGAGCAAAAGUGAAAAUGCAGUAGCUAAUACUUUAUCAAGUACAGCAGUAAAGGAAAUAUAUAUUAAGUAUAGCAGUAAAGAAAAAAAAACAAGUAUUUCACUUUUUCUUUUUUUUUUUUUUUUUUGAGACGAAGUCUCACUCUGUCUCCCAGGCUGGAGUGCAGUGGCUAGAUCUUGGUUCGCUACAUCCUCCGUCUUCUGGUUCAAAUGAUUCUCCUGCCUCAGCCUUCUGAGUUGCUAGGAUUACAAGCAUGUGCCACCACCCCUGGCUAAUUUUUGUGUUUUUAGUAAAAUGAGAUUUUACCAUGUUAGUCAGGCUAGUCUCGAACUCCUGACUUCAUGAUCUGCCCACCUGGGCCUCUCCAAGUGCUGGGAUUACAGGCAUGAGCCACCGAGCCUGGCCUUAACUUUUUAUUGGUUCUUGCUUUUGUGAUGUUUGCCUAACAUACAUAUGCUAUAAACAUAGUAAGUAGGAAAAUAUUAAUAACUUGAGAUGUUGACUAGCUUUGUCUAAUGUUUAAAGAAAUGUUCACAAAUAAUUCAAUUGUAGUUAAGAACAAUUGAAUUAAUGUAAGUAGAAUAGAAAUUAUAAAUGAAAUUUUCAAUAAUAAUUUUUUUCAAUGAACUUUUCAAUAGUAAUUAUAUUUUAAAUUUUGCCUCCAUUUCUUUUGUUAAGAAGUUGACACUAUUUAUAGUAUGGCUGCCAGAAUUAACCAAGACUCAGCGAUUGUUACAGGCACAUACUCCUAAAUUACAGGCACAUACUUCUAAAUAGUGUUAACUUCUUAACAAAAGAAAUGGAGGCAAAAUUAAUAUAAAUGAGAAUUUAUUUGGGCCAAAUUUGAGAACUGCAAUGCGGGAGACACACUUUCAAGUUGCUGUGAAUAUAAACAAUUAGCAGCAGUUACAAGUGGGUUUAAAAAAGCAGGGGGGCAGUUCUUUAGUUACAUAUAAACUAUUAAUUGGCUAUACAUUGCAGUUUUUUUCUUUUUUUUUUUUUUUUGUAAUCAUAAGUUACAGGACCCUGAAGAUAAUGGGUAAAGGUCACAUCCCCUGGGCAUAGAUUUGGGGUGGAGUGUGACAAAAAAAUCUCAUACUCAUGUCUCUCUGAGCCUGAUAAAUUUUGCAUACUCCACAUAGUUUAGUCUGUUCUGAGCUAUUUUUCUUUUCUUCCUUUUGGCUGAGUUUUUUCUUCUUCUGAAAGUAUUGAUGAUCAACAUUUUAGAUGUAAGUUUGUUCCAUAUCACUGGGAAGACUUAAUUUCAGUUAGUCUCCUCCCACAUUGGAGGACAAGAGGAGAGAUAAAAUGGCUUAAGAAUGCAAUGAAGUCUCAAGGCCAUGAUUGGCAACACAAAAGGACAGGGCAAUGGUAUUUUAGGCCAUCUGCUUACAAAGGAGCCAUGGCAUGUUAGAUCAUUUCUAAGCAUCUAGGUGUCAUUAUUUUAGUUUUUUUAUUGUUGAUUUUAGACAUCUGGAAAUGCAAAGUAAAAUCAAUUUGAGAAUAAAAGACAUGAUGUAAAUAAAGACAAUUACUAACAAAA